GUCUACAGCCUUACCACCCUGAAUGUGACUGAAACUAAGCAAGGUCGGGCCUGGUUAGUACUUGGAUGGGAGACAGAUCAGAAGAGGAGACUGCUCAGAGACA
rnacentral:rRNA from 1 species